rnacentral:tRNA from 1 species
GUCGGAGUGGUGGAAUGGUAGACACGUACGUUUCAGGUGCGUAUGGAGCAAUCCGUGUGGGUUCAAGUCCCAUCUCCGACA